rnacentral:rRNA from 1 species
GACGAACGCUGGCGGCGUGCUUAACACAUGCAAGUCGAACGAAGAGCGACGGAAGCUUGCUUCUAUCAAUCUUAGUGGCGAACGGGUGAGUAACGCGUAAUCAACCUGCCCUUCAGAGGGGGACAACAGUUGGAAACGACUGCUAAUAUCGCAUACGAUCUAACCUCGGCAUCGAGGAUAGAUGAAAGGUGGCCUCUACAUGUAAGCUAUCACUGAAGGAGGGGAUUGCGUCUGAUUAGCUAGUUGGAGGGGUAACGGCCCACCAAGGCGAUGAUCAGUAGCCGGUCUGAGAGGAUGAACGGCCACAUUGGGACUGAGACACGGCCCAGACUCCUACGGGAGGCAGCAGUGGGGAAUCUUCCGCAAUGGACGAAAGUCUGACGGAGCAACGCCGCGUGAGUGAUGACGGCCUUCGGGUUGUAAAGCUCUGUUAAUCGGGACGAAAGGCCUUCUUGCGAAUAGUGAGAAGGAUUGACGGUACCGGAAUAGAAAGCCACGGCUAACUACGUG